CUUGCAUGUACCUCAGGACCCUGCCAGUAGGUAUUUUCUAGAUCCUGUUGCCCCUCCUUAUCCACACACAUCCUUUCUAUCUCUUGGCAAGCCCGGCAUAUUCUCAGUUGGACUUCACAAGGAUAUGAUUUUUUGUUGUUGUUUAAAGAUUGGCACCUGAGCUAAUAUCUGGUGCCAAUCUUUGCUUUUUUUUUUCUUCUCUCCAAAGCACCCCCCAGUACAUAGCUGUAUAUUCUAGUUGUGGGUCCUUCUGGUUGUGCUAUGUGGGAUGCCACCUCAGCAUGGCUUGAUGAGUGGUGUCAUGUCCGUGCCUAGGAUCCAAACCAGCGAAACCCUGGGCCACCAAAACAGAGCAGUCAAACUUAACCAUUUGGCCACAGAGCUGGCACUAGGAUUUGACUGUUAAAAUUUGUCUAGUUUGAGGGCCAGUCCAGUGGUGUAGUGGUUAAGUUUGUGCUCUCCGCUUCAGGCUAGGGUUUGCAUGUUCAGAUCCCAGGCAUGGACUUAGGCACCGCUUAUCAAGCCAUGCUGUGGCAGGGGUCCCACAUACAAAAUAGAGGAAGAUGGGCACAGAUCUUAGCUCAGGGCCAAUCUUCCUCAGCAAAAAGAGGAGGAUUGGUGGCAGAUGUUAGCUCACAGCUAAUCUUCCUCAAAAAAAAAAAAAGAAUUGUCUAGUUUCCAGGAGAGAAGAUGGAGCUCUUCUUCCCCGAGGCCUCAGCCAGUCCUGUCUGGAGCCCUGGAACCGGGUUGAUCCUUCCUGCUUUCCAGACUGAAGUCAAGAGGAGGAUGAAGAUUUUUGCAGAGAAGAGCUGUGGAGCAGUGCAAAGCAGUGGAUCACAUACAUUAUGGCAACUGAUUUAUCGAUUCUCUUCCCUCGCAUGCUAAGGUCUAUAAAUUUUUGUUUUGUUUUUCAGUUUGAGUGUGAAGACCAAAAGUUUCCUUGGUUAGGUUUAUUAAACAGUAAACCUCUUUCUCACUAUGGUGUGCACAUAAACCAAACAGGAAAAUCACAUAGCGGGGCUGGCCGCAUGGCCUAGUGGUUAAGAUCAGCCGGCCCCACUUUGGCAGCCCAGGUUCGGUUCCUGGGUAUAGACCUACACCACUCAUCAGUGGCCAUGCUGUGGUGGCAACCCACAUGCAAAAUAGAGGAAGAUUGGCAUGGAUGUUAGCUCAGGGUGAAUCUUCCACAGCAAAAAAAAAAAAAAAAAAACCCAUAGCAAAACAUGAUAGUUUAGUGUGUAAUUGGGUGGGAAAAAAACAAAACUAGCACAAUUUAUGAUAUAGAUAGGAAAUGUUUUCUUAAAGAAUCUCAUUUAUCCUAGCAUUUACUUUAAUCUGAAAUUUCUCCUGCUUUGUUGGCAAUCUAGUUUAAUUAUAGGGUAUGAGUGCUUAAGUCUCCAAAAAUACAUGCAGGAAAAGGAAGAAUGAAGGCAGGCCUGUGGAAAGCCACACUGCUGACUGGUCAAGUUCGGGGUUCUUGUAUUCUCGGCACUCUGUAUUGUGUAGGCAUGGAUAUUCCGGAAUGUUCCUCCCAUGUGAAUUCUCUUGCCCAUAGUUUAAGGGAUAAUUGAACACCAUGCACUCUCUCCCUCAAUUUUCCUCAUUUUCUCCAAAUCUCACCCUAUUCUGAGAACUUGACAGGUAUUUACUGACCAAUUUUUAAGAUAGAUAGUAAAAUUAGUAUCUUUCCCAGUUUCUUCUGUCUUCGUCUCUUCCCUGUUUAAUUGCGAACUCACCCUUAGGCUCACUUCCUCCAUAUGCUUUCUGCCCAUUUUGUUCUCAACUUCUGAGGACACUCACACCAAACCUGAAUUCUUUAAAGCCUCUGACUUUAAUCAGCCUAUAUCUUUUUCCUCCUCCUUUAUUCCUUUAAAUAAAGGACCAACCUCAAUCUUCUCA
rnacentral:lncRNA from 1 species